UGCCAGCCGCCGCGGUAAUACGAAGGGACCUAGCGUAGUUCGGAAUUACUGGGCUUAAAGAGUUCGUAGGUGGUUGAAAAAGUUGGAUGUGAAAGCCCUGGGCUCAACCUAGGAACUGCAUCCAAAACUAGCUCACUAGAGUACGAUAGAGGGAGGUAGAAUUCAUAGUGUAGCGGUGGAAUGCGUAGAUAUUAUGAAGAAUACCAGUGGCGAAGGCGGCCUCCUGGAUCUGUACUGACACUGAGGUGCGAAAGCGUGGGUAGCGAACAGGAUUAGAUA
rnacentral:rRNA from 1 species